GAAGACACUGAAGACACACCUCUUCUGUGAGCUCUGAACUAAAGCAUUAGCAUCGGAGCACAGAGAACAUGAACAGAUCUGUAGAAACAUGGAAAAACACCUGUUUCUGAUUUUAAUUCUGACUUCAGGUGUGAUGACUGCAGACAAGAUUGGGCCAAAUAAAGAAACUGUUAUAAAGAAGGAAGACGAGACUGUGACCCUCAGCUGCUCAUAUGAAACAGACAGCAGUUCCGUUUAUCUUUACUGGUACAGACAGUAUCUUAAUGGAGAGCCUCAGUAUUUAAUAUAUAAGCAACGAUCAAGUAGUGGAGGUGGAAGCCCCUCUGAUCCUCGCUUUCAGACGACUACAUCUCAAUCAUCCACUGAACUCAAGAUUAAUGGUGUGACUCUGUCAGAUUCAGCUCUCUAUUAUUGUGCUCUAAGAGCUGGAGCCCAGUGAUACAAAGUCUAUGCGAAGCUGUACAAAAACUUACAUUCAUUUUCCACUUUGAUCUCAAGCCACA